CUUUUCACAUCAAUAAAUAUAAAUCUGCAACAUUCUUGUAUAUGUUUGCAGAGUCAUCAUAUUGAUGAAUGAAUAUGAAUUUUUAUAUUGAUGUACCCUAGAGACGUUGAGGACAUUGAACCUAGUACAUAGAUGGAGAAAUGGAAGCCAUCUAAGUGAAGAAAUAUGCCCAUUAUACAAGACACUCAGGUGGUGUGCCCAGACCUGAGAAUCACAGAUCUUGCCUGAAGGAGGAGCAAGAGCAAACACACGGGU